UACGUAGGUGGCAAGCGUUGUCCGGAAUUAUUGGGCGUAAAGCGCGCGCAGGCGGCCUUUUAAGUCUGAUGUGAAAGCCCACGGCUCAACCGUGGAAGGUCAUUGGAAACUGAAAGGCUUGAGUACAGAAGAGGAAAGCGGAAUUCCACGUGUAGCGGUGAAAUGCGUAGAUAUCUGGAGGAACACCGGUGGCGAAGGCGGCGUCCUGGACCAACACUGACACUGAUGAGCGAAAGCCAGGGGAGCAAACGGG
rnacentral:rRNA from 1 species